CCCUUAGAGUUUGAUCCUGGCUCAGGAUGAACGCUAGCUACAGGCUUAACACAUGCAAGUCGAGGGGAAACGACAUCGAAAGCUUGCUUUUGAUGGGCGUCGACCGGCGCACGGGUGAGUAACGCGUAUCCAACCUGCCCACCACUUGGGGAUAACCUUGCGAAAGUAAGACUAAUACCCAAUGACGUCUCUAGAAGACAUCUGAAGGAGAUUAAAGAUUUAUCGGUGAUGGAUGGGGAUGCGUCUGAUUAGCUUGUUGGCGGGGUAACGGCCCACCAAGGCGACGAUCAGUAGGGGUUCUGAGAGGAAGGUCCCCCACAUUGGAACUGAGACACGGUCCAAACUCCUACGGGAGGCAGCAGUGAGGAAUAUUGGUCAAUGGACGAGAGUCUGAACCAGCCAAGUAGCGUGCAGGAUGACGGCCCUAUGGGUUGUAAACUGCUUUUAUAAGGGAAUAAAGUGAGUCUCGUGAGACUUUUUGCAUGUACCUUAUGAAUAAGGACCGGCUAAUUCCGUGCCAGCAGCCGCGGUAAUACGGAAGGUCCGGGCGUUAUCCGGAUUUAUUGGGUUUAAAGGGAGCGUAGGCCGGAGAUUAAGCGUGUUGUGAAAUGUAGACGCUCAACGUCUGCACUGCAGCGCGAACUGGUUUCCUUGAGUACGCACAAAGUGGGCGGAAUUCGUGGUGUAGCGGUGAAAUGCUUAGAUAUCACGAAGAACUCCGAUUGCGAAGGCAGCUCACUGGAGCGCAACUGACGCUGAAGCUCGAAAGUGCGGGUAUCGAACAGGAUUAGAUACCCUGGUAGUCCGCACGGUAAACGAUGGAUGCCCGCUGUUGGUCUGAAUAGGUCAGCGGCCAAGCGAAAGCAUUAAGCAUCCCACCUGGGGAGUACGCCGGCAACGGUGAAACUCAAAGGAAUUGACGG
rnacentral:rRNA from 1 species